rnacentral:rRNA from 1 species
AUUGAACGCUGGCGGCAUGCCUUACACAUGCAAGUCGAACGGUAACAGGUCUUCGGAUGCUGACGAGUGGCGAACGGGUGAGUAAUACAUCGGAACGUGCCUAGUAGUGGGGGAUAACUACUCGAAAGAGUGGCUAAUACCGCAUGAGAUCUACGGAUGAAAGCAGGGGAUCGCAAGACCUUGUGCUACUAGAGCGGCCGAUGGCAGAUUAGGUAGUUGGUGGGAUAAAAGCUGACCAAGCCGACGAUCUGUAGCUGGUCUGAGAGGACGAUCAGCCAGACUGGGACUGAGACACGGCCCAGACUCCUACGGGAGUCAGCAGUGGGGAAUUUUGGACAAUGGGCGCAAGCCUGAUCCAGCAACGCCGCGUGCAGGAUGAAGGCCUUCGGGUUGUAAACUGCUUUUGUACGGAACGAAAAGCCCUGGGUUAAUACCCUGGGGUCAUGACGGUACCGUAAGAAUAAGCACCGGCUAACUACGUGCCAGCCGCCGCCGUAA